rnacentral:lncRNA from 1 species
GAGUUGCUUUCCAAAGACUAUCUCACCACUGGGAUUCAGGCUGAACAAAGGAGUUAGAUUCAAAACAGGGAUUCUCUGUAUAGCCCUGCUGUCCUGGAACUCAUGCUGCAGAUGAGGCUGACCCUUGAAGUGAGAGAGCUGCUUGCCCCUGCCUUCUUACUGCUGAGAUUAAAGGUCUGUGUAUCAUUUUUGAGAUAAACUCAGUGUAAACUAUAAGGCAAAGACAUGUUCGAAUUUAAUCUACAUAUAACACCCAGCAUGGAGAGAAUCAGAAACCAAGAGCAUGGUGUACUCAGUCUAACCCACAGGUUAUGGGCCAGAGCUUCAUAAUGAAAUAGUGAAAUGAGAAUGUAUGUUUUUUAUCAAGGAGUUCAUUGUCCUUUCUGGUACACUACACCACCCAGUGCCUAAUCUGUCUAAACAGGAGGCAGGGCUGACACAGCGACCUCCUCAUGUGGAAUCACCCGGAACCAUUUCUGUUCCAGCUCUUCUGUUUUUUGGCAAGUGCAUGUGAGUUUCUGGAUGACUUAUACUGAUUUUAGAUCAAGCAUGAGACUCAGAAUAGUUACUGGGUGACAUAAAAUGACAGAAACACCUUUGUACUGAGCGGAACUUCUGUGUUGGU